UGUUAUAUGGGAUUGCUGUAGGGAACAAACAUUAGGAGAUUGACAAGUGAAAGGUUUAUGUGCCCAUUAUCCAGAAGAACAGCAAGGAAGCUCAUCUUGUCAAACCAUUCUGGAGGAGACAUACUUUCUUCGAAUAAGAGCUGCUAUCUGGACAUCUUUGCUCCAACAAGACAAUUUUGCAAACCUCUUAUUUGCCAAUUUUUUGUAAGUUCUAACGCUCAUGUGCUAAUUUCUGGAUUCUGGAUGGGACCGGAUGUAGAAGAUGGAUGGGGUUUUGUAGAAGCAAUUGUGCAUCAAAUGUAUUAAUUCUUAUAAUUGAUCAUUUUACUUGCUUUUUUUCC